rnacentral:rRNA from 1 species
GUGUCAGCAGCCGCGGUAAUACGGAGGGUGCAAGCGUUGUUCGGAAUUACUGGGCGUAAAGGGCGCGUAGGUGGUUGUGUAAGUCAGAUGUGAAAUCCCGAGGCUCAACUUCGGAACUGCAUCUGAUACUGCAUGACUCGAGUGCAGCAGAGGGAAACGGAAUUCCUGGUGUAGAGGUGAAAUUCGUAGAUAUCAGGAGGAACACCGGUGGCGAAGGCGGUUUCCUGGGCUGACACUGACACUGAGGCGCGAAAGCGUGGGUAGCAAACAGGAUUAGAUACCCUGGUAGUCCACGCCGUAAACGGUGAAUACUGGGUGUGGGAGGUGUAAUGCCUUCUGUGCCGAAGCUAACGCGUUAAGUAUUCCGCCUGGGGAGUACGGCCGCAAGGUUGAA